AGAAAGAGAAAGAUUAAGGCAAGAAAGUGCAGAUGCAACAAGACAAAAGAAGAACCUUGCAUUAUCAAAUCCUAGCACUCCACUUUCACCACUGGAGACACUACUGAGAGCUGCUGGAUCUACGUAACUAAAAACAUUUUAAUGCACUUUAUUUUUUAUGUAACUGAGAGCAUAAUAAGUAUAACAAAAUAAGAUUAAAUGUUUGAGGAAGUACUAAUAUGUGUACUAGUAUAAUGUCUUUGUUAAACAGAGUGUAAGCAAUCAAAUGCUUUCGUUAA